rnacentral:misc_RNA from 1 species
GAUGAAGAACGUAGCGAAAUGCGAUACGUAAUGUGAAUUGCAAAUUCAGUGAAUCAUCGAGUCUUUGAACGCACAUUGCGCCCCCUGGUAUUCCGGGGGGCAUGCCUGUCCGAGCGUCAUUGCUGCCCUCAAGCACGGCUUGUGUGUUGGGCCCCGUCCUCCGAUCCCGGGGGACGGGCCCGAAAGGCAGCGGCGGCACCGCGUCCGGUCCUCGAGCGUAUGGGGCUUUGUCACCCGCUCUGUAGGCCCGGCCGGCGCUUGCCGAUCAACCCAAAUUUUUAUCCAGGUUGACCUCGGAUCAGGUAGGGAUACCAGCUGAACUUAAGCAUAUCAAUAAGCGGAGGA